rnacentral:rRNA from 1 species
UACGUAGGGUGCAAGCGUUUAUCCGGAAUUAUUGGGCGUAAAGAGCUCGUAGGCGGUUUGUCACGUCUGCUGUGAAAACUGGAGGCUCAACCUCCAGCCUGCAGUGGGUACGGGCAGACUAGAGUGCGGUAGGGGAGAUUGGAAUUCCUGGUGUAGCGGUGGAAUGCGCAGAUAUCAGGAGGAACACCAAUGGCGAAGGCAGCUCGCUGGGACGGUACUGACGCUGGAGACGCGAAAGCGUGGGGAGCAAACAGG